rnacentral:piRNA from 1 species
UCCCAUCAGUAACUAAGACUAUGUAUGCCUU